UUCUAAUAUUGAUCCAUGUACUAUGCAAAUUUCUUUAUUGUUCUUGCUCAUUCAUUUUUCUCUAAUUAACUCUGUGAAUUGCGAAUUCGCCAGAAAUUAUUCGAGCUCUGGAAGUUGAAGAACAUCAUAUACUAAUACACUCAUCAAGCUUAAGCAUCGAUCAAACACUAAAUUAGUUCAUAGAUUUUAGUUCGAAACACAAAUUAUAUGUCCCAAAAAUUGGGCUGCCAAAUUAUUCACACCAUAAUAAAGGAAAGCAUCUAGCAAGCUAGCAUUGCAAAAUGAUCAAGUGAUCAAACGGUCUAAAAUUCCUUGAUGAAAUCAUGGAUAUGAUCGUUAACUUCCUCGGCUCUCUCUUGGUUGAUGAAGUGACCGGCUCCUUCAAUCACGACGCAUUCCUUCAAUAAUGGCACAUCAUUUUUGAAACCACCUCCAUGUACAUAUUCCUUCAUCCCUGGAGUAGUGUACACCAUAUCCAGAUCCCCCACAAUGAGUUUAACAGGAAUUCUUAUCUGUACUCCUGUCCAUGCUGCAGUUAGUUCCCAGUUUCUACAUCAGUUAAAAAUAUUAACUUCAAUUUCUGCUAAAGCAAGAAUUUUGAGCAAACAAACACAUCUUGAUUCGUGCAUGCUUGGUACGUAGUACUCAAGGCUAAAUAGUAUAAUAGACCUGAUCUCCGCCCACAGUGGACGAGAUAAAAACUUCCCACUGUUGACGCGGCAGCAGAACGUUAUAUAUGGUUGUUAGCAACAUUUAU
rnacentral:lncRNA from 1 species